GAUGAACGCUGGCGGCGUGCCUAAUACAUGCAAGUCGAGCGAACAGACGAGGAUCUUGCUCCUCUCACGUUAGCCGCGGACGGGUGAGUAACACGUGGAUAACCUACCUAUCAGACUGAUAUAACUUCGGGACACCGGCGCUAAUACCAGAUAAGCUAUUGCACCGCGUGGUUCAAUAGUUAAAUACGGUUUUGCUGUCACUUCUAGAUGCAUCCUCGCCGCAUUAGCUAGUUGUUAAGGUAACGGCUUACCAAGGCAACGAGGCGUAGCCGACGUGAGAGGGUGGUCGGCCACACUGGAACUGGGACACGGUCCAGACUACUACGGGAGGCAGCAGUAGGGAAUCUUCCGCAAUGGGCGAAAGCCUGACGGAGUAACGCCGCGUGAGUGAUGAAGGUCUUCGGAUCGUAAAACUCUGUUAUUAGGGAAGAACAAAUGUGUAAGUAACUAUGCACGUCUUGACGGUACCUAAUCAGAAAGCCACGGCUAACUACGUG
rnacentral:rRNA from 1 species